GAUGACGAGAUCCGGCGCGUAGCUCUGGCUGGCCGGACGGCAACCCUCUACCGUAGCGGGGUGCCCCAGAUGACCAUCCGGCCGCGGUUGCAACAGAUCACGGCAAGUGCGGUUC
rfam:Kocuria marina strain SO9-6 KM0021, whole genome shotgun sequence.